AUUGAACGCUGGCGGCAUGCCUAACACAUGCAAGUCGAACGGGGCGCUUCGGCGCCUAGUGGCGGACGGGUGAGUAAAGCGUAGGAAUCUGCCUUGUAGUGGGGGACAACCUGGGGAAACUCAGGCUAAUACCGCAUACGCUCGCGAGAGGAAAGCGGGGGAUCUUCGGACCUCGCGCCGCAAGAAGAGCCUACGUCCGAUUAGCUAGUUGGUAGGGUAAAAGCCUACCAAGGCGACGAUCGGUAGCUGGUCUGAGAGGAUGAUCAGCCACACUGGGACUGAGACACGGCCCAGACUCCUACGGGAGGCAGCAGUGGGGAAUAUUGGACAAUGGGCGCAAGCCUGAUCCAGCAAUGCCGCGUGGGUGAAGAAGGCCUGCGGGUUGUAAAGCCCUUUAAGUGGGGAGGAACGGCGGGAUGCGAACAGUGUUCUGCUCUGACGUUACCCACAGAAUAAGCACCGGGCUAACUCCGUGCCAGCAGCCGCGGUAAU
rnacentral:rRNA from 1 species